UACGUAGGUGGCAAGCGUUGUCCGGAUUUAUUGGGUUUAAAGGGUGCGUAGGCGGCCUUAUAAGUCAGUGCUGAAAUAUCCCGGCUUAACCGGGAGGGUGGCAUUGAUACUGCAAGGCUUGAGUAGAGUUGAGGUUGGCGGAAUUGACGGUGUAGCGGUGAAAUGCUUAGAUAUCGUCAAGAACACCGAUAGUGAAGACAGCUAACUAAGCUCUAACUGACGCUGAGGCACGAAAGUGUGGGGAGCGAACAGG
rnacentral:rRNA from 1 species